AACGAACGCUGGCGGCAUGCCUAACACAUGCAAGUCGAACGAGACCUUCGGGUCUAGUGGCGCACGGGUGCGUAACGCGUGGGAACCUGCCCUUAGGUUCGGAAUAACUCCCCGAAAGGGGUGCUAAUACCGGAUAAUGUCUUCGGACCAAAGAUUUAUCGCCUUUGGAUGGGCCCGCGUUGGAUUAGCUAGUUGGUAGGGUAAAAGCCUACCAAGGCGACGAUCCAUAGCUGGUCUGAGAGGAUGAUCAGCCACACUGGGGCUGAGACACGGCCCAGACCCCGAGGGAGGGGAGGAGAGGAGAAUAUUAGGAAAGGGGGAAAGACCUGGCCCAGAAACGCCCGGGAGGUGAGGAAGGCCGUAGGGUUUAAAAUCCGUUUUCCCCGGAAUGAGAAUGAAGGUACCGGGGAAAGAAGCCCCGGCUAACUCCGU
rnacentral:rRNA from 1 species